CAGGAUUGUUGAAGGAACCGAGACCUCUCCACAGACUAGAGAUCAAUCUCGGUACCCACAGAGAGAUUGAAGAUACUGAAGGCUUUCACCAAUGGUUAUGAAUUGCUGAGCCUAUCUGCAGACUUUCAACGUUGCAACACAGUGAUGGAUGAAGCCUCCUCAACCUAUCAAGCCAUUCAUCAACAAUACAUCUCAACAGUUGGAGAACUACUGUGAAUACAUUAAAUUUACCGGGUAUCAGCGGGUUUCAAUACAUAAAAAAUUGUAAGCGACUUUGAGGAAGAGGAAAGCCAUGCAGAUACGGGGAGAAUGUGCAAAUUCCGCACAGGCAGUCACCCAAGAGUGGAAUUGAAACCAGGUCCCUGGUGUUGUGAGGCAGUUUGCAAAAUUCCCUCAUUUUCCCAAAUUCCCAUCACUGAGCCAUUGUGCCACGCCCCCAGCCAUGCAAUCACCUGAAUGAGCUGACGUCUGCUUCACACCGGAUGGAACUCAGCUGUUCUGUGCAUUCACAAGAUGGUGAGGAUGCUCGAUACAUCAAGAAUGUGAGAACAGACAAACACUGGUGAAGAAACGGGGGCAGACUGGAUUCAUCUCAUGUAUCAACUUCAGCCCCAAGCAUGACCUGUAUGCAUUUGCCUCUUAUUCUAAGAGAGUGGGACAAGGGGACUGUGUUUAUCAUUUAAAGGGCCACCAAGGAGGAGUGACACACGUUAUAUUUUCACCUGAUGGGAACUUGCUCUACACUGGGAUAUGGAAAGCAGAAGGAACCCAAAAUCCUGUGAUGGGACCUAUGUCAGCCUAGCAAAGUGCUGUUCUCCAAGCUCUAUUCAGCAACAAUCAAUCAGAGAAUGUAUUUUGAUCUGGAUGUUUAUGGGCGCUAUGUAGUCAGCAAGAACACUGAGGGAACACAUUCCACGUAGGAUACCACAUUAACACCAGCAAAGGGGCCGGACUCCAUCCUCAAUCCUACUCUUUAGAAACACACUCAGCAGGACUGUGUUAACGGGAUCAGCCUACACCCACAUACAAACCUGCUGGCUACCACCUUGGGGCAGUGCAAGUUUCUGGAGCCUGCUGAGAACAAGGACGAGGGCAACAGGAUCCUGAUGGGCCCCUGCAACAUCAGGGCUGAGAGCUCCAUAAAGCUGUGGGUUUGCUGCCAGUGACAUAGGCCAACAGCCUAGGAGGUGGUUCACAAAGCAAGGGUUCCAUGUUGGAGCUGGACUUACACUCACAGUGCUGCCUUAUAUGCACUGAGAUUAGGAUGGGGUUAGGAUUGCGACAAAAUAAAAUCGCUACCAGUUG